rnacentral:rRNA from 1 species
AUUGAACGCUGGCGGCAGGCCUAACACAUGCAAGUCGAGCUGAGCGGCAGACGGGUGCGUAAUGCCUAGGAAUCUGCCUGUUAUUGGGGGAUAACGUCCGGAAACGGGCGCUAAUACCGCAUCCUAUCAGCUGAGCCUAGGUCGGAUUAGCUAGUUGGUGGGGUAAAGGCCUACAAAGGCGACGAUCCGUAACUGGUCUUAGAGGAUGAUCAGUCACACUGGAACUGAGACACGGGCCAGACUCCGACGGGAGGCAGCAGUGGGGAAUAUUGGACAAUGGGCGAAAGCCUGAUACAGCCAUGCCGCGUGUGUGAAGAAGGUCUUCGGAUUGUAAAGCACUUUAAGUUGGGAGGCGUUACCAACAGAAUAAGCACCGGCUAACUUCGUGCCAGCAGCCGCGGUAAUAC